UAGGAUGUAGUGUAAUUGGUAGCACGAAGGUUUUUGAAUCCUUAGGUUUAGGUUCGAUUCCUAUAGUUCUAG
rfam:Loxodonta africana unplaced genomic scaffold scaffold_30, whole genome shotgun sequence.